UCCGUAGGGGGCAAGCGUUGUCCGGAUUCCUUGGGCGUAAAGAGCGUGUAGGCGGCCAGGUAGGUCGGUUGUGAAAACUGGAGGCUCAACCUUCAGAGGUCGACCGAAACCAUCUGGCUAGAGUCCGGAAGAGGAGAGUGGAAUUCCUGGUGUAGCGGUGAAAUGCGCAGAUAUCAGGAAGAACACCCGUGGCGAAGGCGGCUCUCUGGGACGGUACUGACGCUGAGACGCGAAAGCGUGGGGAGCGAACAGG
rnacentral:rRNA from 1 species